ensembl:lncRNA
GGGGGGGGGUGGUGGUGGGGCAAUGGGGCUGCAGGCAUUGUCUGGGUGAGCCUCCACAAGGAAGCCCUGAAGUCCCUCCUGGCUCAAAGCAGCCCCAAAGAGAGCUGGGAGGUCUGCAAAGUCCAUGCUGGCAUUGUGGUCCGAGAUCGCUCGAAUGAGCCCCCGGCUGGGGGCCGCUCCCCACAGCACAGUGACCACAACCACAGGAAGCGGGAAGGCCGCAGGGUGCAUGGCAGCGGGAGGAGAGGCGGAGGGGGCCGAGUCCGGGUAACAGGAACAGAACCGGAGUUCUGCGCCCUCUCUGGCCCUCCUUCAGGAUCCCAGGGGUCCAACCACCCCCAGGUCCCACUUCCCAGCUACAUGGGGGCUCGGGGAAGGACCUCCGACUCGGGGAGUGAGGUACCCAACUAGUCUAUUGGAGCUGGGAGGGAGAGACUAAAAAUAAUCCUUUUCUGGUAUAGUAAUAAAACUGGGAAAGGGAACGGAGACCAGCACAGGUGACAGAAAAACUUCUGGAAGGGUGGAGCUCAAAGGGGCGGGACUUCCGGCCAGGUGGGCCGUCUUCCCAUCCCCUGGAAAAGAGUUUCCGGCAAAGAAAGUCAGGCCGCUUCCAGCAUUGGACGCUCACGACUAAGGACAUCCGGUUCUGUCCUCCUGGCCGCCGCGGUACCUUCAAGUCUUCGCGAGAGGCCUCAGCACCUUUCCCCCCCACCAGCUGACAUCUUCCUAUGCAGAGAUAGGACCCUUGUUUAUGAAUUUCCAAGCCUAAAUUUCUUAUACUGCAUCAUGCAUCUCCUCAAUGUUCGGCACUAAUGAGACCAUUGCCCACCAGGCUCCUCUGUCCAUGGAAUUCUCCAGGCAAGAAUACCAGAGUGGAUUGCCAUUUCCUUCUUCAGGGGAUCCUCCUGACCCAGGGAUCGAACCUGCAUCUCCUUCGUUGCAGAUAAUGAAACAUAAGAACAGAGAGGUUAAGUAACUUGCUUCAAGUCAAACAGCGGUCUAAAUGAAAUCGGCGUUAACCUCACCGAUUCUACCCUGUUGAAGUCUCAAGGGAUCUUCCAAAUUUUCGGCAAAUUUACAAGGAAUUUUCAAUUGCAGAUCUCUCCAAGUCUUUGGGUUUGUGCACGCUUGCAUACUGUACCUGUCUUACGGCUCCUCAGUCUACAUGAUGCUCAGCCCUUUCUUCAGUCUCCAUGGACAGCCCCUGCACACUUUGCUACAGGCACCCACCAGCGCUCCAGGAAUUUGAACUUUUGUUUCUCUAGUGGAUGGAUCGUCAAUGACAGGCAGUACUAGCCCUCCUUCCUUCCCCUUCUUUCAUCCUCUGUACUCAAAUCCCUUCUUCCUGGCAGCCUUUAGAUAGCUAAAUUCUUCACUGUAACUUUGAGGUCAUCCUUUUAGGCCUUGAUGCUAGAAAUCAGGAGGGGAAAGGAG